CUACUUCUAGGUAGACAGUGUGAAAAUUGAAUUGAAUUAUAGGACAUCCAGCUGGUGUUCACUGGAGAACGGAUUGCUUGCUGUGUAUGAAAAACUACGUAGGUCUGGUCACAGAUGUGUUCUGUGUUGUAUUGUGUGUGAGAGGAGGAAAAAUAGUUUGAUUUAUCCUUUCUCUUUCAGAGUAGACCUUCCUCAAUGGGUCUUUUGAAACACAAUGUUGAUUUCUUUUUCCUGUAGGUGACAGUAGGGAAAGAAGACGCUACCAUUGCUUAGCCAUCCCACCAACUCAUCUCAUUACAUCUGUACACACAGCUCAACAGGCAAAACCCUCUCUGGGAAUGUGAUUCUUCCUGGCAAAGCAGGCAUGAACAGAGACGAAGAAUGCCAAUACCCUCUUGACCAUCAAGAUAUGCCAAAACCACUUUAGAGAAUAUUGGAAUAAAGUGCCUGAGAACAGAUCACCCAAGAAAAAGUUGACAGAGGAACAACUUCUAAUUCAUUCUGAUGACACUUUUGAGGCUUCCAAAAAAUCAUAUUUUCCUCAGGCUUCUUCUAUAAGGCCUGCUUUUUUUGGUCUCACUUCUAACUGAGGAAAAAAAGGUAAGACAUA
rnacentral:lncRNA from 1 species